UACGAAGGUGGCAAGCGUUAUUCGGAUUUACUGGGCGUAAAGCGUGCGCAGGCGGUUUUGUAAGUCUGUCGUGAAAUCCCCGGGCUUAACCUGGGAAUGGCGAUGGAGACUGCAAGGCUGGAGUUUGGCAGAGGGAUGUGGAAUUCCAGGUGUAGCGGUGAAAUGCGUAGAUAUCUGGAGGAACACCGGUGGCGAAGGCGGCAUCCUGGACCGGUAUUGACGCUGAGGCGCGAAAGCUAGGGGAGCAAACGGG
rnacentral:rRNA from 1 species